UACGAAGGGGGCUAGCGUUGCUCGGAAUCACUGGGCGUAAAGCGCACGUAGGCGGUCUUUUAAGUCAGGGUGAAAUCCUGGAGCUCAACUCCAGAACUGCCUUUGAUACUGGCGACCUUGAGUCCGGGAGAGGUGAGUGGAACUGCGAGUGUAGAGGUGAAAUUCGUAGAUAUUCGCAAGAACACCAGUGGCGAAGGCGGACUCACUGGCCCGGUACUGACGCUGAGGUGCGAAACGUGGGGACAACA
rnacentral:rRNA from 1 species